rnacentral:piRNA from 1 species
UGGUGUGUUUGGAUAUUCCAUGUUUGCUU